rnacentral:rRNA from 1 species
AAUAGAUACCCCGGUAGUCCAUGCCGUAACGUUGGGCACUAGGUGUGGGGCUCAUUCCACGAGUUCCGUGCCGCAGCAAACGCAUUAAGUGCCCCGCCUGGGGAGUACGGCCGCAAGGCUAAAACUCAAAGGAAUUGACGGGGGCCCGCACAAGCGGCGGAGCAUGCGGAUUAAUUCGAUGCAACGCGAAGAACCUUACCAAGGCUUGACAUGCACGGGAAGCCACCAGAGAUGGUGGUCUCUUUGGACACUCGUGCACAGGUGGUGCAUGGUUGUCGUCAGCUCGUGUCGUGAGAUGUUGGGUUAAGUCCCGCAACGAGCGCAACCCUCGUCCCAUGUUGCCAGCGGGUUAUGCCGGGGACUCAUGGGAGACUGGCCGGGGUCAACUCGGAGGAAGGUGGGGAUGACGUCAAUCAUCAUGCCCCUUAUGUCUUGGGCUUCACGCAUGCUACAAUGGCCGGUACAAAGGGCUGCGAUACCGUAAGGUGGAGCGAAUCCCAAAAGCCGGUCUCAGUUCGGAUUGGGGU